rnacentral:rRNA from 1 species
UACGUAGGGUGCGAGCGUUGUCCGGAAUUAUUGGGCGUAAAGGGUGCGUAGGUGGUUGAAUAAGUUAGGUGUGAAAGUCCUGGGCUUAACCUGGGGAUUGCGCCUAAUACUGUUUAGCUAGAGUACUGUAGAGGAAGGUGGAAUUUCCAGUGUAGCGGUGAAAUGCGUAGAUAUUGGAAGGAACAUCAGUGGCGAAGGCGACUUUCUGGACAGAUACUGACACUGAGGCACGAAAGCGUGGGGAGCAAACAGG